rnacentral:rRNA from 1 species
ACACGACUCUCAGCAACAAAUAUCUCGGGUCUCGCAUCGAUGAAGAACGUAGCGAAAUGCGAUACCUGGUGUGAAUUGCAGAAUCCCGGAACCAUCGAGUCUUUGAACGCAAGUUGCGCCCGAGGCCACCCGGCCGAGGGCACGCCUGCCUGGGCAUCACGC